CAGUCGCCGCGGUAAUACGUAGGUCCCGAGCGUUGUCCGGAUUUAUUGGGCGUAAAGCGAGCGCAGGCGGUUAGAUAAGUCUGAAGUUAAAGGCUGUGGCUUAACCAUAGUACGCUUUGGAAACUGUUUAACUUGAGUGCAAGAGGGGAAAGUGGAACUCCAUGUGUAGCGGUGAAAUGCGUAGAUAUAUGGAGGAACACCGGUGGCGAAAGCGACUCUCUGGCUUGUAACUGACGCUGAGGCUCGAAAGCGUGGGGAGCAAACAGGAUUAGAUACCCCUGUAGUCCCUGUCUCUUAUACC
rnacentral:rRNA from 1 species